rnacentral:rRNA from 1 species
GACGAACGCUGGCGGCGUGCUUAACACAUGCAAGUCGAGCGAUGAAGUUUUUUCGGAAAUGGAUUAGCGGCGAACGGGUGAGGAACACGUGAAGAAUCUGCCCUCCACUUUGGGAUAACACAGGGAAACCUGUGCUAAUACCGAAUAUUGAAACAUAAGUGGCAUCACUGAAUUUUGAAAGAAUUUCGGUGGAGGAUGACUUCGCGGCCUAUCAGCUAGUUGGUGAGGUAAUGGCUCACCAAGGCAACGACGGGUAACCGGCCUGAGAGGGCGACCGGUAACACGGGGAGUGAGACACGGCCAAGACUCCUACGGGAGGCAGCAGUGGGGAAUAGUGGGCAAUGGAGGGAACUCUGACGCAGGGACGCAGCGUGCGGGAUGAAGGCCUUCGGGUUGUAAACUGCUUUCAGUAGGGAAGAAGCGAAAGUGACGGUACCUACAAAAGAAGCACCGGCUAACUAUGUGCCAGCCGCCGCAGUAA